rnacentral:rRNA from 1 species
GACGAACGCUGGCGGCGUGCUUAACACAUGCAAGUCGAACGGAAAGGCCCUGCUUGUUUGGGGUGAUCGAGUGGCGAACGGGUGAGUAACACGUGAGUAACCUGCUCUUGACUUUCGGAUAACUUCAGGAAACUGGGGCUAAUACCGGAUAGGAGCUCCUGCUGCAUGGUGGGGGUUGGAAAUUUUCGGCGGUUGGGGCUGGACUCGCGGCUUAUCAGCUUGUUGGUGGGGUAGUUGCUUACCAAGGCCUUGACGGGUAGCCGGCCUGAGAGGGUGACCGGGCACAAUGGGACUGAGAUACGGACCAGACUCGUAUGGGAGGCAGCAGUGGGGAAUCUUGCACAAUGGGCGGAAGCCUGAUGCAGAGACGCCGCGUGCGGGAUGACGGCCUUCGGGUUGUGAACCGCUUUCGCCUGUGACGAAGCGUGAGUGACAGUAAUGGGUAAAGAAGCACCGGCUAACUACGUG